rnacentral:rRNA from 1 species
GACGAACGCUGGCGGCGUGCCUAAUACAUGCAAGUCGAGCGAAGUUUUUCUGGUGCUUGCACUAGAAAAACUUAGCGGCGAGCGGGUGAGUAACACGUAAAGAACCUGCCUCAUAGACUGGGACCACUAUUGGAAACGAUAUCUAAUACCGGAUUACAGUAUUUCUCGCAUGGGAGAAAUUUAAAAGUUUGUUAUGCUAACACUAUGAGAUGGCUUUGCGCUGCAUUAGCUAGUUGGUGGGGUAAAGGCCCACCAAGGCGACGAUGCAUAGCCGACCUGAGAGGGUGAUCGGCCACACUGGGACUGAGACACGGCCCAGACUCCUACGGGAGGCAGCAGUAGGGAAUCUUCCGCAAUGGGCGAAAGCCUGACGGAGCAACGCCGCGUGAGUGAAGAAGGAUUUCGGUUCGUAAAGCUCUGUUGUUAGGGAAGAAUGGAUAUGUAGUAACUAUACAUGUAAGAGACGGUACCUAACCAGAAAGCCACGGCUAACUACGUG